AUUGAACGCUGGCGGCAUGCCUAACACAUGCAAGUCGAACGGGGCAGCAAUGCCUAGUGGCGGACGGGUGAGGAAUACGUAGGAAUCUGCCCUUAAGUGGGGGAUAACCAGGGGAAACCCUGACUAAUACCGCAUGAUCUCUUCGGAGCAAAGAGGGGGACCGCAAGGCCUCUCGCUUCUGGAUGAGCCUACGUCUGAUUAGCUAGUUGGUAGGGUAAAGGCCUACCAAGGCGACGAUCAGUAACUGGUCUGAAAGGAUGAUCAGUCACACCGGAACGGAGAAACGGUCCGGGCUCCGACGGGAGGCAGCAGUGGGGAAUAUUGGACAAUGGGCGCAAGCCUGAUCCAGCAAUGCCGCGUGUGUGAAGAAGGCCUUCGGGUUGUAAAGCACUUUAGCCUGGAAAGAAAAAACUUUGGUUAACACCCAAAGUCUUGACGGUACCAGGAGAAUAAGCACCGGCUAACUCUGUGCCAGCCGCCGCAGUAAUAC
rnacentral:rRNA from 1 species